CUGACACAGGGAGGUAGUGACAAUAAAUAACAAUGCCGGGCCUUUUUAGGUCUGGCAAUUGGAAUGAGAACAAUUUAAAUCCCUUAUCGAGGAUCAAUUGGAGGGCAAGUCUGGUGCCAGCAGCCGCGGUAAUUCCAGCUCCAAUAGCGUAUAUUAAAGUUGUUGCAGUUAAAAAGCUCGUAGUUGGAUUUCUGGUGGGAGCGUUGGGCCGGCCCUAAGGGUCUGAGCUCAAAUGUUUUCCGCCAUCCUUGGAGGGAUGUUGUCUGGCAUUAAGUUGUCGGGCUUCCGAUCUCCAUCGUUUACUGUGAAAAAAUUAGAGUGUUCAAAGCAGGCUUAUGCCGUUGAAUACAUUAGCAUGGAAUAAUAAGAUAGGACCUUGGUACUAUUUUGUUGGUUUGCGUACCUAGGUAAUGAUUAAUAGGGACAGUUGGGGAUAUUACUAUUUCGUUGUCAGAGGUGAAAUUCUUGGAUUUACGAAAGAGUAACUACUGCGAAAGCAUUUAUCAAGGAUGUU
rnacentral:rRNA from 1 species